AUUAGUUCUUUAUUAGGGGACUCUUGCCCUCAAUUUUCACAAGUUGUUUCACUAGAUCACAAUGGUAGUGUUGCUGUUCUUCGUUCUAGCCCUCCCCACCCUCUUCCUAUUCAUUCUCUUAAAACAAAGAAAUAAUGGCAAUAUUCUUCUUCCCCCAGGCCCGCCAGGUCUUCCCUUGAUCGGUCACUUGCAUAUGGGAGUAUCAACUUUGGAGCUUGCCCUUGCCAAUCUUCUUUACAAAUUUGAUUGGGAAAUGCCGGCCGGGAUGAAUAAAGAAGACUUUGAUGUGAUACCUGAUGGAUAGGCAUAGAGGAAUCAAAAUCUUGGAUUGGCCUGCGAGAUUUCACCUUUCAUUAUUGAACCCAUAUCGCGAAAAUUCAACAAUGAAGACGUAUGGUUCCUACUGCAAUGGACCACUAACCAGUCUAAAGAUCAAAUGAUGCCGUGAAGGACUGAAGGAUUCUGAUGGAGAGGGUGACGUUAAGGAGAAGCUAAACAUUCUGCUUCUUUGACACUUGGUUCCAGCUUUAUGAAUUUCUGUAUAACAUUAUAUUUACCAGAGACGCGAGAAUCAAGCAUAAGCCAAUUAUUGGCAAGCGUGAGGAAAUUUGUACAUUUUCUUUGUUGACCAUACAACCUGGAACCACCAAUCUCAACGUUCAUUCCAAAACAAAACAAACAGCAAAUAAUCCGUGAACAAAGCAACAGCAUAUUCCUGAAGAGAAAUCUUUUGAUAGGUUUGAAGGGUUUAAGACCCCGUCCGCAUGUAGGAUGGUGCGGUAAAUCUUUUGGUAAUUGUACAAUAUUACUUACUAUCCAAAUCAAGUAUUGAUGUUAUUGAAAAUCGUUUUUUAA